rnacentral:rRNA from 1 species
CCGGCGCACGGGUGAGUAACGCGUAUGCGACCUGCCCGUUGCAGGGGGAUAAUCGGGAGAAAUCCCGUCUAAUACCGCGUAACGCCGCGGGGCUGCAUGGCCCUGCGGCCAAAGGGAGCGAUUCCGGCAACGGAUGGGCAUGCGUGACAUUAGCUAGUUGGCGGGGCAACGGCCCACCAAGGCGACGAUGUCUAGGGGUUCUGAGAGGAAGGUCCCCCACACUGGUACUGAGACACGGACCAGACUCCUACGGGAGGCAGCAG